rnacentral:rRNA from 1 species
CCUACGGGGGACAGCAGUAGGGAAUCUUCCACAAUGGGCGAAAGCCUGAUGGAGCAACGCCGCGUGGGUGAAGAAGGUCUUCGGAUCGUAAAACCCUGUUGUUAGAGAAGAAAGUGCGUGAGAGUAACUGUUCACGUGUCGACGGUAUCUAACCAGAAAGCCACGGCUAACAACGUGCCAGCAGCCGCGGUAAUACGUAGGGGGCAAGCGUUAUCCGGAUUUAUUGGGCGUAAAGGGAACGCAGGCGGUCUUUAAGUCUGAUGUGAAAGCCUUCGGCUUAACCGGAGUAGUGCAUUGGAAACUGGGAGACUUGAUUGCAGCAGAGGCGAGUGGCACUCCAUGUGUAGCGGUGAAAUGCGUCGAUAUAUGGAAGAACACCAGUGGCGAACGCGGCUCUCUGGUCUGUAACUGACGCUGAGGUUCGAACGCGUGGGUAGCAAACAGGAUUAGAUACCCUAGUAGUC